GGCAGUUCUCAGGUGACGCACCCCGGGAUCAGGCUCCUUCCUCUCUGGUUCUGGGUGCGUAACCCAAGAACCACA
rfam:Myotis davidii contig214252, whole genome shotgun sequence.